rnacentral:lncRNA from 1 species
CUGACGCGCCCCCAUCAGCUGCUUCGGCCGCUCGUUGCCUGACGAAGAAGAAGAAGCCCCGGGAUCUGAACGCGAUGGGAUCGCCGCACGAUAACCGAGCGUGCCGGCGACUUUUCGACGACGGCGGAGACCCUGCUACCAGGCGCACGUUGGACAAGAUGCAGGAGGACAGCUCGCGCUCCUGGAACUACGACUUCGGACGGGACCGACCGAUGCAGGGCCGGUACCAGUGGCAGCGCUGCGGGGACGACGACAAGCGGACGUCGUCGCAGUGGCGCUGCUGGGGCGACGCGUCGCCCGGUUCAGAUUCACGCAGACAGAAAGACAAGAGCUGUUCUUUCAAAGGAAGAUGUGACGACGUGAUUGGGCGGUCCCAGAUGACAGGGAGGACACCGUACUGACAACCGUUGACUGACGUCAGCGGAAAACAUGGACUUUCCAGACAGGGCAAGUCAUGCGAGCUCGCCUUUCCUGGUCUCAAAGCACCACAGGUGUUCAUCCGCUCAGAGCCUCCUUACAUCACCAAUGUUCGAUGAAAAACAAUGUGCUUUUCUGCAAAAAAAAAAAUUAUACGGACGCCUCAGCUACCACAUAAGCUCAAAGUUCCGUGACAGCUCACAAAAGGUGUGCUAUAAUUUGUAUUGUGUUUCGUUAUACUAGACCGGCUUACAUGUCAUAUUACACACAGCAAUACUGAACUUGAACAAAAUGCCUGAAACCUUGCAAUGUGAUGGCACCGUUAUCCAGGCGCUACAACUUCCUAUCCACUUGAUAAAACGCUUCUUGCGCUGUACAAGCAUGUUGAUUCCUAAUCACGAUUCAUGCACUGUAAUCGAAAAUUUGUUCUAGUACUUCAACAGUACUUUAUCUAUGAAUAACUACUUCAAACGGUCCCUUGCGAGAAUAUUUUCACGGUGACUGCAUAGAGAAAUAAUCCUGCAUCUAUGUACCAACCUCCCCACAAGUGCACAUGAUGUACAGAGAGUUUUAGCUACGCCAAAAAAGAAGUUUGAUUCGAAAAACUGCAACAAAAAGAUGGUGCGUGUGCUUAGAUGCAAGUGCACAUUAAAUAACUUAAGACACUGUAAAGACGUGUCUAGUAAUUCAUGCUACGGUUCAGGCUCCAAUAGUGCUAGAAUUUGGCUAUAUUGUUUGUUCAGGAAUAGAAAGUUCUGGUAGAUGCGGCGACUACGUUUCUGUAGCUCUCCUGAUCAAUAUUUGUUUUUGUUUCUUUUGCUGCUGUGGGAUAUUCAGUUGGAACAAGCUCGCUUCUUCCUCUCUAAUUUGACGAAGUUACGUAGGCAAUGCAGACCUUCACAGAAGGAUCUUUAUUAAAGGAACAUUACACAAAUAAGACUUUGCAGGUGCAUAUAUAUGCUCUUACGGCGCAGCGUAGACGUCACUAGAGGUAACCUGGAGUUCAUAGAGUCUGUUGCGAACUGCCAUUUUUUUGAGGAGACGUCCCAUCCGGAUGACACAGAGUUAUCAUAUUAUCGAACGAUCACUUACUUCUUUAUUCUCAUAAAGAAAUACCGUGAUCAUUAUGGGAUAUUACAUGUAUAUAGAAAUUUCAUAUUUACACAUUUUCUCUAUUUUUUGUUCUGAUCAGUAUUUUAAUGUCUGUUAUAUUUACGCAAUCGGAAGGGCAAUGUUUUUUAUUGAAAGUGUGUACAAAUCCACAACGAUCUCUGAGGCAUACGCUAGAAGAUGGUCCAGCCUUGACGAAGUGUUCUUAAGCGAUUUCGUAGUUUGAGCGUAUCCAAUCACGUCCCAUGUUUUAAUGAUUUUCUUCGCAUGUUCAGAGGUAAAAGUUCAGCAUUGCUGCCUCAUCUUCUUUUAGCAUUCAUUUAGUACUGCUAGCCUGUAUUUCAGUUCUUAAGCAGGAGUAGGUAUUGUAGAGCGGAUUAUGAAGCAGUUCAAGAUCAAUUUCGCAAUUAAUAAGAAGAAAAAUGGUAGUAAUGAAGGAGUAGGAAAAACAUUUAAUUUAAGGAUCAAACAUGGGGUGUCAGAAUGUCAUGUACUGAGCCGUGAGAAAUGUACAGGGUUGCUCAAAAGCUGCCCGACUGCGAUGCCGUAGGAUUACAUGGUAUAGCAGAGGGGAAGCUUCUGCACACCCCUGUAUGGUGGAUAAUGCUAUGGCCAACACCGAUGAUCUCACUACUUAAAAAGUACUGGUGCAUCUAAUAUAAGUCUACAUAUAGAAAGGGAUCGUGCCUAUAACAUUAAGAAAUUACGCAACGCAAGUAUAAUUAAGUCAUAAAAUGUGUAACACAGACAUGGUUUAUAGAAUGAUCGAAACAAAUACAGCAAAAGCAUAUGGGAUACACCAGCCUUUAAAGCAAUAUAUUUUUAGAGUGCAAUAGAAAAUAUUAAUAGCACAAAAAGAUUCACGCUUCUUCGCGAGCAACAUUAAGCGUGUGAAGUUAGUUAGGCUCAAGCUACUUUCGCUGACUACUUACUGUGGUCAGGUGUGACCAUCUUCAUGCGGUGUCUCCAACUUUGUGAAAACUCAAUUUGUACAGCUAUAUAUUCUUAAUGAAUUUCGAGAACAUAUAUGAGAAUACUCGCGAGAACUAUUUUUUGUUUUCUAAGCGUAUAGGUGACAUAUAAGCGUUAUUAACUGCCAAAGUAUUUUCCCGUUUGUUCUGUACUUAUCGGCUGGUGCUGGUGGAAGGUGGUGAUAUGUAGAGUCUUUUUAUGGGCUGCACAGGCGUUCACUCUGUAUAUCCCUCACACGUUAUUGUCAAUACGCCUGCUGCGUUCCUUGUUUUCUUUGUAUUUUCUUGUUUCACUGUUAAAAACAGUAGACCAGAUGUGCUGUCGAAAGCUGCGUAAGAGACUUGUUCUUAUGUACCCCCAAACAUAGAGUUUCCUAAUAUCCACUAGAGGGAACUCUGGCGCUAGUGUCUAUGGGAGCUGCAACGCACGGCGCUUCACCGAGCCUGGAAGUGAUGGGUAGCACCCACAUUUGUCUAAUUUUCGUACUUCUGGCCUGCUUCUGGCUUCGUGUGUGUACGUGUGGCUUAGAGCUGUUUUUUCACAAAAAAAUAAAUUAGCGAGUGUUCAGCGUUUGCUUUUCACAACCUUAUCCUUUUAAGCUUGCCAUUUUGAAUCGGGUCGCAAAGUUCAAAAGGGUUGACUCUUUCUUUCAAAAGAAUA